AAGACCUUGUGCUUUUGGAGCGGCCGAUGCCUGAUUAGCUUGUUGGUAAGGUAAAAGCUUACCAAGGCUUCGAUCAGUAGCUGGUCUGAGAGGACGACCAGCCACACUGGGACUGAGACACGGCCCAGACUCCUACGGGAGGCAGCAGUGGGGAAUUUUGGACAAUGGGGGCAACCCUGAUCCAGCCAUGCCGCGUGAGUGAAGAAGGCCUUCGGGUUGUAAAGCUCUUUCAGCCGGAACGAAACGGUUACGGUUAAUACCCGUGACUACUGACGGUACCGGAAGAAGAAGCACCGGCUAACUACGUGCCAGCAGCCGCGGUAAUACGUAGGGUGCGAGCGUUAAUCGGAAUUACUGGGCGUAAAGGGUGCGCAGGCGGUUUUGUAAGUCAGAUGUGAAAUCCCCGGGCUUAACCUGGGAACU
rnacentral:rRNA from 1 species